rnacentral:misc_RNA from 1 species
UGCAGCAUUCUGUGUGUCUAGGGUU